rnacentral:rRNA from 1 species
GACAGAGGGGGCAAGCGUUGCUCGGAAUUACUGGGCGUAAAGGGCGCGUAGGCGGGAUGGCAAGUCGGUCGUGAAAUCCCUCGGCUCAACCGAGGAACGUCGAUCGAUACUGCUGUUCUUGAGGAUUGCAGAGGAGACUAGAAUUCCCGGUGUAGCGGUGGAAUGCGUAGAGAUCCGGAAGAACACCGGUGGCGAAGGCGGUCUGCUGGGCAGUUGCUGACGCUGAUGCGCGACAGCGUGGGGAGCAAACAGG